rnacentral:rRNA from 1 species
UGACGCUGGCGGCAGGCUUACACAUGCAGUCGAGCGGAGCGAAGGUGCUUGCACCUUAGCUUAGCGGCGGACGGGUGAGUAAUGCUUAGGAAUCUGCCUAUUAGUGGGGGACAACGUUUCGAAAGGAACGCUAAUACCGCAUACGUCCUACGGGAGAAAGCAGGGGGAUCUUCGGACCUUGUGCUAAUAGAUGAGCCUAAGUCGGAUUAGCUAGUUGGUGGGGUAAAGGCCUACCAAGGCGACGAUCUGUAGCGGGUCUGAGAGGAUGAUCCGCACACUGGGACUGAGACACGGCCCAGACUCCUACGGGAGGCAGCAGUGGGGAAUAUUGGACAAUGGGCGAAAGCCUGAUCCAGCCAUGCCGCGUGUGUGAAGAAGGCCUUUUGGUUGUAAAGCACUUUAAGCGAGGAGGAGGCUUCUUUGGUUAAUACCCAAAGUAAGUGGACGUUACUCGCAGAAUAAGCACCGGCUAACUCUGUGCCAGCAGCCGCGGUAAUACAGAGGGUGCAAGCGUUAAUCGGAUUUACUGGGCGUAAAGCGUGCGUAGGCGGCUAAUUAAGUCAAAUGUGAAAUCCCCGAGCUUAACUUGGGAAUUGCAUUCGAUACUGGUUAGCUAGAGUAUG